rnacentral:rRNA from 1 species
UGGGGAAUAUUGGACAAUGGGGGCAACCCUGAUCCAGCCAUGCCGCGUGAGUGAUGAAGGCCCUAGGGUUGUAAAGCUCUUUUGUGCGGGAAGAUAAUGACGGUACCGCAAGAAUAAGCCCCGGCUAACUUCGUGCCAGCAGCCGCGGUAAUACNAAGGGGGCUAGCGUUGCUCGGAAUCACUGGGCGUAAAGGGUGCGUAGGCGGGUUUCUAAGUCAGAGGUGAAAGCCUGGAGCUCAACUCCAGAACUGCCUUUGAUACUGGAAGUCUUGAGUAUGGCAGAGGUNAGUGGAACUGCGAGUGUAGAGGUGAAAUUCGUAGAUAUUCGCAAGAACACCAGUGGCGAAGGCGGCUCACUGGGCCAUUACUGACGCUGAGGCACNAAAGCGUGGGGAGCAAACAGGAUUAGAUACCCUGGUAGUCCAC